UACGGAGGGGGCUAGCGUUGUUCGGAAUUACUGGGCGUAAAGCGCACGUAGGCGGCUUUGUAAGUUAGAGGUGAAAGCCCAGGGCUCAAUGACCCUGGAAUUGCCUUUAAGACUGCAUCGCUUGAACAUCGGAGAGGUAAGUGGAAUUCCGAGUGUAGAGGUGAAAUUCGUAGAUAUUCGGAAGAACACCAGUGGCGAAGGCGACUUACUGGACGAUUGUUGACGCUGAGGUGCGAAAGCGUGGGGAGCAAACAGG
rnacentral:rRNA from 1 species